GAAAGCCGUAUGAGGGGAAACUUUCACGUACGGUUUGGAGGAAAGUCGGGAAGCUCUAAGGUAUUUGCUAUGAACUCUCGGCUCAUCCUAC
rfam:P.littoralis mitochondrial cox1 gene